rnacentral:rRNA from 1 species
GACGAACGCUGGCGGCGUGCUUAACACAUGCAAGUCGAACGGAAAGUCCCUGCCUUUUUGCGGUGCUCGACUUGCGAACGGGUGAGUAACACGUGAGUAACCUGCCCUUGACCUUGGGAUAACUUCAGGAAACUGGGGCUAAUACCGGCUAGGAGCACCUGCUGCAUGGUGGGGGUUGGAAAGUUUCGGCGGUUGGGGAUGGACUCGCGGCUUAUCAGCUAGUUGGUGGGGUAGUGGCUUACCAAGGCUUGGACCGGUAGCCGGCCUGAGAGGGAGACCGGCCAGACUGGGACGGAGUGACGGCCCAGACAGAUACGGGAGGCAGGAGUGGGGGAUGUAGCAUGGUGGGCGGACGCCUGAUGCAGCAACCCCGGGUGCGGGAUGGCGGCAUUCGGGAGGGAAGCAGCUUUCGCCUGUGACGAAGCGUAAUGACCGGAAAUGGGGAAAGAGGCACCGGCAAACUACGU